AUUGAACGCUGGCGGCAGGCCUAACACAUGCAAGUCGAGCGAGUGGCGGACGGGUGAGUAAUGUCUGGGAAACUGCCUGAUGGAGGGGGAUAACUACUGGAAACGGUAUCUAAUACCGCAUACCAUCAGAUGGUCCCAGCUGGGAUUAGUUGGUAGUUGGGGUAACGGCUCACCUAGGCGACGAUCCCUAGCUGGUCUGCGAGGCUGACCAGACACACUGGAACCUAGAAACUGUCCAGACUCCGACGGGAGGCAGCAGUGGGGAAGAUUGCACAAUGGGCGCAAGCCUGAUGCAGCCAUGCCGCGUGUAUGAAGAAGGCCUUCGGGUUGUAAAGUACUUUCAGCGGGGAGGCGUUACCCGCAGAAGAAGCACCGGCUAACUCCGUGCCAGCAGCCGCGGUAAUUC
rnacentral:rRNA from 1 species